CACAUCGAAAUCAAUCUCGGUAAAAAUCUAAAACCCAAAAAAAAAAAAAAAAUCAAAAAGGAAAAACGAAAACCUAGGGCAGAUAAAAUACCCAAUAGCAAUUCAGCCGGAGAAGAACGUCGAUCAAUUCUGCUGCCCUAAUUGUUAACCCUAGCCGCCUGAAAUCCGUCGCCGCCGAUCGCAGCCCAGCCGAUCGAACUCCAGGGGGAGAAGCGUAUCUUUGUGAGGGAUAACGUGCUCUAAUGGAUCCAGUAACCGACGAGCAAUUAGAUUAUGGAGAUGAGGAAUAUGGAGGAAACCAGAAGAUGCAAUAUCAUCACGGUGGAGCGAUACCUGCGCUUGCUGAGGAUGAAAUGAUUGGUGAUGACGAUGAAUAUGAUGACCUGUACAAUGAUGUUAAUGUUGGGGAGGGUUUCAUGCAAAUGCAGCGGUCUGAGGCACCACCGCCUUCUGCUGUUGGAAAUAAUAGUUUCUCGAUUUCCAAAAACACUGCUCCCGGAACUAGAGCUGAAGCAAUAGCCUCGCAAGAGGUGAACAAUGGCAGAGUUGGUAACGAGGGGAGUUAUGCACCUAAUGGCGUUCAACUCUCUGAUCAGAAGAAUAACUUGACGGCUGUCGGUGGACCUGCGCAACCUGUGGAUGCUUCUCAAAGGGUGAGGCUCCCUGAAGUUGCAAAUAGUUCUCAAGCAGCGCAUUUGGGAUAUCAAGGAUCAGAAAUAAUGCUUCAUAAGACUGCUACAGAUCGGAUGAACAAUUCAGAAAAUAUAGUCGGUGAACCUGCAUCCUUGGUGUAUCCUAACACGGGCAGCUCGAAAGGUGUUCCACAGGCUCCAUCCAAUCUGAUGAACUCAAAUGCAAAUGUCAAUGUCAAUGUAAACCGUUCGAUGGAUGAUGAAUACCUGAUACGGCCAUCCGGAGGAGAAAACGGAAAUCCUAUGAUCUAUGUAGGAGAGUUGCACUGGUGGACAACGGAUGCUGAGGUUGAGAGUGUGCUCAUACAGUAUGGGAGAGUCAAGGAGAUUAAGUUUUUCGAUGAAAGGGCUAGUGGCAAGUCCAAAGGUUAUUGCCAGGUUGAGUUUUACGAUCCCGCUGCUGCCACCGCUUGCAAGGACGGUAUGCAGGGUCACAUCUUCAAUGGACGAGCUUGUGUAGUGACGUAUGCCAAUCCACAAACCUCGAAGCAAAUGGGCGCCUCUUACAACAAGAACCAAGGCCAGUCUCAGUCGCAGCUGCAAGGAAGGAAUCCAAUGAAUGACGGAGCAGGAAGAGGUAACGGAACGAAUUAUCCUAGUGGAGAUGCAGGGAGGAAUUUCGGACGAGGCGGCGGCUGGGGAAGAGGAAAUCAAGCCCCUAACAGGGGUCCAGGGGCUGGACCUAUCAGAGGAAGAGGGGGUAUGGGAAACAAGAAUAUGAUUGGGAAUGCACCCGGUGCUGGCGGUGGAGGAGCUUAUGGACAAGGCCUUAAUGGCCCUGGUUUUGGUGGGCCCCCUGGUAUGAUGCAUCCUCAGGGCAUGAUGGGUCCUGGUUUUGACCUAGCAUUUAUGGGUCGGGGAGGUGGUUACGGAGGCUUUUCGGGUCCUCCUUUCCAAGGUAUGCUUCCUCCGUUUCAAGGUGUUAAUUCAAUGGGGCUUCCCGGAGUGGCUCCUCAUGUCAAUCCAGCUUUUUUCGGUCGAGGAAUGAAUCCCAAUGGAAUGGGUAUGAUGGGGAAUCCGGGGAUGGUUGGCCCCCAUUCUGGAAUGUGGAAUGACCCGAACAUGGGUGGGUGGGGAGGGGAAGAACAUGGUCGAGAGUCUAGCUAUGGUGGUGAAGAUAAUGCAUCUGAGUAUGGAUAUGGUGAGGGAAGUCAUGACAAAAGUGUGAGGUCUAGUGCUGCUCCCCGAGAAAAGGAGAGGACUUCUGAGCGUGAGUACCCUGAGAGGAAGCAUCGUGAGGAGAGAGAAAAUGAUGGAGAGAGAAACGAUAGGGACUCCAAGUACAGGGAAGAGAAGGAUCGUUAUCGAGAGCAUCGCCAUAAAGAACGUGAAUCAGGCUAUGAUGAUGACUGGGACAGGGGACAGUCUUCAAGAUCUCGGAGUAGAUCAGGCGCAGUGCAGGAAGAAGAUCACAGGUCUCGAUCUAGGGAUGCGGAUUACGGGAAGCGCAGACGCAUGCCGUCUGAGUGAUUAUAUUAAGAACAGCUCGUGCAGGGGAAUGAAUCAUUUUGAACUGUCGGAUCUGGAUAAUUUCAAGGAUUGCAGCUCUUUCUUUUUUUAUAUGUUGGCACCGCAUGCUGUGCUGUCUCGGACUUCGAGGAAGAGCAGAGAAACCAUUAAUUGGUGCGCUCUUCGGUAUGCUUAGUACUAUGAAUGCAAAGAAGCCUUAAUUCAUAUAUGCAAUUGCUUACCAAAUUCUCUGAAGAAUAUUUUUGAGCAAAAACAUGGAUGAUGCCCCAUCAUAUUCCCAAUACUUGAAGAGAAUACUUUCGUGAGCUGUGUUUAGUGUGUAUGUAUAUAUAUUCCAUGUAAUAGGGCUUCACACAUGUAAUAGGUUUUUUUUUAAUUUAUUUCCCAUGUGCACGCACACCUUCAUCUCAUGUAAGAAGUAACGUGCGAGUCUUGAGACCACUGUUUUGGUCGUUUUUUGUGAUGAUUUGGUUCCGAAAUCGGAACUCGGUAAAGCUUUAGGAGUCGUGCUUACCGGUGUAAAUGUAAUUCCUGUAAGGUUAAACUGCUGUGUGGUAUGGUCUGUAGAUUGAAUUCCGUGUAGUGGGGUUUCGCACAUGUAAUAGAUUUUUAUUUUCACAUGUGCACACCUUCAUUUCAUGUAAAACGUAAUGUACGAGUCUUGAGACCACUGUUUUGGUCGUUUUAAUUGUGGGGUUUUGGUUCCGAUUUGGGACUUGUAAUCUUUAGGGGUCGUGCUUUUUUCCUGUUGUAAUGUAAUUCCGGUAAGCUUAAAUUGCUUUAUGAUAUGGUUGUAGAAUAGAGCGAAGGAGUCUCGUUUAAUUUUUGUAAAUUGAUGCUCUCGUUGUAAUCGUUAGUUCUCUGAAGAAGUUGUUAGUUGUAAAUUCUCCAUCGUGCAUCGUGUUGUAGCUUGGUUUUGUGAAUUUUUUUUGGUCUGGUGCCCUUGGAACAAGUUGUUAGCAGAUUGUAACGUACCAAUUUUCGAGUUGUAAGUUGUAUGUUGUAAAAUAUCAGGUUAGCCUUGC